GGGGCUUAACGGCCCCGCGGCCGUGGAGAAUCCUGGGGCGGAGCGCGGGCCUGAAACUAUCUAGCGGUAAUUCUCAGGCAGUUCGCUGUUGAGACCGCAGAGUUGUCUUUGGGAUCCUUUCUGAGGAAGAGCGGCAUCCCUGAGAGCAGAAAAUCUGGCCCCGUGAAGGGCAAACCCCCAAAUCAGACUAUGGGACACUGCCAGGCAGCAGGCCCGCUGCCUGGGAUGGAGAGGACUGUGGACUGAGCCUAAG